rnacentral:lncRNA from 1 species
CAGUGUUUGUAGCUCUGAAUAAGGACUGGAACAAAACAAAAACCACUUUCUUACCCUCUGCCCCUCCCUUCCUCCCUUCCCAGAUCCUUUUUAUCUUUUGAGCUAUAGAGAGAAUAAGAACUAACUGUUAGGCAUUAGAAUCUGAGAAUUUUUCCCUCUAAGUCACAGUUAUUGGGAAUAAAUAAAUAUGAUGAAUUUAUUGCAUGUGAGGUAAGCAUUCUAUUUUUUAUCUUCCCUCAGCAUGAAACCCGCCUGCUCUGAAGGGACAUUUGAAGUGAAGAAAUAGAGGACAAAAAUAAAUAUGGAUGGAGGUUAAAACUCCCAGUAUAGGUGUGAAGUCAUAAACCAUUUGACCGAAAAUAAUUCAUUAUGUUGUUUCUGUUGCCAGCUUGCUGAACUCCUGCAACAAAAAUUCCUGAGAGGUAAAAGAAACUGUACAGUAAACAGUGAAAAAAAUAUAUAAAAAUUGUAUAUGUAGUGCUAAUUUUAUUACGUUAUUUUGUAGUAACGUCACUCUUCAUUACUUUCACUUUCUCCCCCCAGAUUUACGGAUUUCCAAACAAAGGAAAAUUCAGUGAGAGUGCACACUGUACUUCUGAUUCCAGCAGAUGCACACAGGUGACUCUGCUCCAAUGCAUCAUACAGUUUUUACUGUCUGGCACAUUGGCUGUCUACCUUGUCAUUUUGAAGGCAAGUUACAAAAUGGUUCUCAGAAUGGG